rnacentral:rRNA from 1 species
AACGAACGCUGGCGGCAGGCCUAACACAUGCAAGUCGAGCGAGGACUUCGGUCCUAGCGGCGGACGGGUGAGUAACGCGUGGGAACGUGCCCUUUGCUUCGGAAUAGCCCUGGGAAACUGGGAGUAAUACCGGAUGAGCCCUUUGGGGGAAAGAUUUAUCGUCGAAGGAUCGGCCCGCGUUGGAUUAGGUAGUUGGUGGGGUAAUGGCCUACCAAGCCGACGAUCCAUAGCUGGUUUGAGAGGAUGAUCAGCCACACUGGGACUGAGACACGGCCCAGACUCCUACGGGAGGCAGCAGUGGGGAAUCUUAGACAAUGGGGGAAACCCUGAUCUAGCCAUGCCGCGUGAGCGAUGAAGGCCUUAGGGUUGUAAAGCUCUUUCAGCUGGGAAGAUAAUGACGGUACCAGCAGAAGAAGCCCCGGCUAACUCCGUG